rfam:Cephalotus follicularis DNA, scaffold: scaffold2005, isolate: St1.
AAAGAUGAUGAAUGGUUUAUUUGACACCCAGUCUUACUUGCAUUUCAUGAUGCAAGAUGGUGAGAAAAUUGACCUCUAUCUGAUUU